CGCCGACGUGCGCCGGAAGGAAGGUCAUGCUCGGUGGAUUCGCCCGCGGGGCAAUGCUGCUGCGGACGCUGCGGAACUGGGCUUCCUGGGCGCUGCGCCGCGACAGGCCCGGGAGCCCCGCCUCCAGCCCGGGGUUGCCAAGGGCGCAGCGUUGGGCCUGGCCUCGGGAUAAAGGUAGAGAAAAUGAAAAAGAGAAAAAAUCAGUGAUAUGUGUCGAGGGCAAUAUUGCAAGCGGGAAGACAACGUGCCUGGAGUUCUUCUCCAACACAGCUGACAUCGAGGUGUUAACGGAGCCCGUGCCCAAGUGGAGAAAUGUCCGAGGCCAUAAUCCUCUGGGUCUGAUGUACCAGGACGCCUGUCGAUGGGGCCUCACGCUGCAGACAUAUGUGCAGCUCACCAUGCUGGACCAGCACACUCGUCCUCAGACGUUGCCUGUACGGUUGAUGGAGCGGUCAAUUCACAGCGCAAGAUACGUUUUUGUAGAAAACUUGUAUAGAAGUGGGAAGAUGCCUGAAGUGGACUAUGUGGUCCUGUCGGAAUGGUUUGACUGGAUUGUGAAGAACAUCGACGUGUCCAUUGACUUGAUAGUUUAUCUCCAGACCACUCCUGAGACCUGUUACCAGAGGCUAAAGAUGAGAUGCAGGGAAGAGGAGAAGGUCAUUCCACUGGAAUACCUGGAUGCUAUUCACCACCUGUACGAGGAGUGGCUCAUCAAAGGGAGCCUUUUCCCCGUGGCGGCCCCUGUUCUGGGCAUCUGAAGGAACGUCAGUUGCUGUUCUGGUCUGUCACACAAUGAUGCCCCCUUAGGAGGUGCUGAGGUGAUUGAGGCUGACCACGACAUGGAGAAAAUGUUAGAACUCUUUGAACAAAACCGGCACCGAAUACUAAUUCCAGAGGAUCGGAAGCUUGGUCCAUAGGACGGGGAAGAUCAUGCCAGAGAAAUGCCCGCUGCUGCCAAGUUAGCGCUCACGAGGAGUUUGGAACAAUCCACUCACGAGAGGGCUUUCUAUCUGGGCACAUUUGUCUUCCUAAUGGUCUUCUCUCCUUUGCCAGUGUCUUUAUCCUGGGAUUCUGGCCCUCGUGGGUAAAUGACAUGAUGGGACCAAUGGGUUUGUCGUGGCCCUUUGGUGUCGCAGCCUUGCAUUCCCCCGGUGCUUCUCCUGGUGGUUUCCCACCUCUGAAUCCCUCUAAAUUAGGGAAGAGCCACCUGACUGACCCUGGGCUCAUGGUCUCUAGCCCUUCAGACCAUCCUCGAGGGCGAGGUAGUGGUCUUACAUCCCAGGGGAGGAAGUUGAAGCUCAGACUGGCUAAGGGACUCCCCGGGGUCACACAGCCAGUGACAGUGGAGUCAGCACCAUUCAGACUUCUGGUGACUCCCAAACGAUCAAUCUCUUGCCCCAGGCUGCCUCAUCCCAAGAGCCCUGCCUUCCCUGCUGGAGAGCCCCACACGUGUGUGGGAGUGUGUGUGUGUGUGUGUGUGUGUGUGUGGGAGUGUGUGUGUG